AGAGGUAAGAGGUACUACAGGGGUAGGAGUGAAAUCUUGUAAGUCCCCUGUGGGGACCACCUGGUGGCGAAGGCGUCUUACCAGAACGGGUUCGACGGUGAGGGACGAAAGCUGGGGGCACGAACCGGAUUAGAUACCCGGGUAGUCCCAGCCGUAAACGAUGCUCGCUAGGUGUCAGGCAUGGCGCGACCGUGUCUGGUGCCGCAGGGAAGCCGUGAAGCGAGCCACCUGGGAAGUACGGCCGCGAAGGCUGAAACUUAAAGGAAUUGGCGGGGGAGCACAACAACGGGUGGAAGCCUGCGGUUUAAUUGGACUCAACGCCGGACAACUCACCGGGGGCGACAGCAAUAUGUAGGCCAAGCUGAAGACUUUGCCUGAAUCGCUGAGGAGUGGUGCAUGG
rnacentral:rRNA from 1 species